rnacentral:rRNA from 1 species
GUAAGGAAUAUUGGACAAUGGGGGGAACCCUGAUCCAGCCAUGCCGCGUGUGUGAAGAAGGCCUUUUGGUUGUAAAGCACUUUAAGCGAGGAGGAGGCUACCGAGAUUAAUACUCUUGGAUAGUGGACGUUACUCGCAGAAUAAGCACCGGCUAACUCUGUGCCAGCAGCCGCGGUAAUACAGAGGGUGCAAGCGUUAAUCGGAUUUACUGGGCGUAAAGCGCGCGUAGGUGGCCAAUUAAGUCAAAUGUGAAAUCCCCGAGCUUAACUUGGGAAUUGCAUUCGAUACUGGUUGGCUAGAGUAUGGGAGAGGAUGGUAGAAUUCCAGGUGUAGCGGUGAAAUGCGUAGAGAUCUGGAGGAAUACCGAUGGCGAAGGCAGCCAUCUGGCCUAAUACUGACACUGAGGUGCGAAAGCAUGGGGAGCAAACAGGAUUAGAUACCCUUGUAGUCC